rnacentral:rRNA from 1 species
UGAGGAAUAUUGGUCAAUGGGCGCAAGCCUGAGCCUGCCAUGCCGCGUGCAGGAUGAAGCAUCUAUGGUGUGUAAACUGCUUUUGUACGGGAAGAAACCACCCCUCGUGAGGGGUAUUGACGGUACCGUAAGAAUAAGCAUCGGCUAACUUCGUGCCAGCAGCCGCGGUAAGACGAAGGAUGCAAGCGUUAUCCGGAUUCAUUGGGUUUAAAGGGAGCGUAGGUGGCCUUAUAAGUCAGUGGUGAAAUCUCCCCGCUCAACGGGGAAACUGCCAUUGAUACUGCAGGUCUUGAAUUAUUGGGAAGUAACUAGAAUAUGUAGUGUAGCGGUGAAAUGCUUAGAGAUUACAUGGAAUACCGAUUGCGAAGGCAGGUUACUACCAAUGGAUUGACGCUGAUGGACGAAAGCGUGGGUAGCGAACA